CCUACGGGAGGCAGCAGUGGGGAACUUUGGACAAUGGGCGAAAGCCUGAUCCAGCGACGCCGCGUGGAGGACGAAGAUCUUCGGAUUGUAAACUCCUUUUGCCGGGGACAAACAAAAUGAUUGUACCCGGCGAAUAAGCCACGGCUAACUACGUGCCAGCAGCCGCGGUAAUACGUAGGUGGCGAGCGUUACUCGGAUUUACUAGGCGUAAAGCGCAUGUAUGUGUCCAGGUAAGUUUCUGGUUAAAUACUUCGGCUUAACAGAAGAACUGCCAGGAAAACUGCCUGGAUUGAGGGUGGAAGAAGGAGACGAAAUUCCCGGGGUAGCGGUAAAAUGCGUAGAUAUCGGGAAGAACACCGAUGGCGAAAGCGGUCUCCUGGCCAAAUACUGACGCUGAGAUGCGAAAGCUAGGGGAGCAAACGGGAUUAGAUCCCCGGGUAGU
rnacentral:rRNA from 1 species